ACUCUGAUCAGCCAUGCCGCGUGAAGGAUGACUGCCCUAUGGGUUGUAAACUUCUUUUAUAUGGGAAGAACUGCGGAUACGUGUAUUUGUUUGACGGUACCAUACGAAUAAGGACCGGCUAACUCCGUGCCAGCAGCCGCGGUAAUACGGAGGGUCCAAGCGUUAUCCGGAAUCAUUGGGUUUAAAGGGUUCGUAGGCGGGCUAAUCAGUCAGAGGUGAAAUCCAGCAGCUUAACUGUUGAACUGCCUUUGAUACUGUUAGUCUUGAGUCAUAUGGAAGUAGAUAGAAUAUGUAGUGUAGCGGUGAAAUGCAUAGAUAUUACAUAGAAUACCGAUUGCGAAGGCAGUCUACUACGUAUUGACUGACGCUGAUGAACGAAAGCGUGGGGAGCGAACGGGAUUAGAUACCCCGGUAGUCCACGCCGUAAACGAUGGACACUAGUUGUUGGGUUUCGGCUCAGUGACUAAGCGAAAGUGAUAAGUGUCCCACCUGGGGAGUACGGUCGCAAGAUUGAAACUCAAAGGAAUUGACGGGGGCCCGCACAAGCGGUGGAGCAUGUGGUUUAAUUCGAUGAUACGCGAGGAACCUUACCAGGGCUUAAAUGUAGGAUGCAUUAGGUAGAGAUACUUAUUUCUUCGGACUUCUUACAAGGUGCUGCAUGGUUGUCGUCAGCUCGUGCCGUGAGGUGUCAGGUUAAGUCCUAUAACGAGCGCAACCCCUAUUUUUAGUUGCUAACAGGUUAAGCUGAGGACUCUAGAGAGACUGCCGGUGCAAACCGUGAGGAAGGUGGGGAUGACGUCAAAUCAUCACGGCCCUUACGUCCUGGGCUACACACGUGCUACAAUGG
rnacentral:rRNA from 1 species